rnacentral:lncRNA from 1 species
GAAUUUGAAUGAGGAGCCUCAGCGCUUUCGGCGCCAUUUUCGAGUGAUGCCUGAUCUCAUCAAUCUAGCGGGAGAGACAGGAUAACCUGUCCGAGAGUAUAGCGCCACUAUGACUCCGCCGGAAAAAUUACUUUAAAAAUCGCCAAAAAUUACUUGGAGCAAAGGGCAGUCGGCGGAGCUUCGCCAAGGCUGGCGCAGUCGGUUUAAUAAUGAUAGAAUGAAGACCACAAUAAAAGAGACCUCUACUUAGCUCAGCAAUUCUUACCUUUCUUACCUAUUUGAUGAAGAUGUCUUUUGAAAGGUGUACUGCAAGGAACAAAAUGUUUGUAAAUUCUCCUUUUACCAAGGUGGAUAAUUACUGUACCUUCCUCAUGGAAAAAGUUUUAUUUAAAGUGUUAUUUCUCAUUGAAUACUAUCAAAAAGGAAAAAAAAAUGACCUAAACUUUUGAGAUAGAUUUGGCUCUAGUAAGUAUUUAGUUAUAUCACUUGCAUAUCUGGGAGAAGAAAUAAGAGACUAUCAUCAGUACAUUCCCAUCUACUAAAAAAAUUUAUUUUACACAUGUCAAGGGAUUACUUAUAACUUCCAUUUUAUUACUAAUAGCUUGAACCCUUUUAAUGAAGACCUAACUCCUCCACCAGAAAUUUAAGUUUAUGUUCUUACUUUGUUUACUUAUAAAAUACAUCUCAGGUAUUUCGGAUGUCUUUUUUUUUUCUAAGCCUAUAUGAAAUGAAAAAUAUAUUGGCAAAAUAAAUGUUUAAACCUUUUACGUUAAAAUUACUUUGAAAGAUGAAAAGUUAGUGCUGUUUUUGUCUACGUUAUACUGAAAUUAAAUGUUUAUAAUUUAUAUUUUGGGUUUAUGUAUAAAUCAUGGAAUUUAUGCAAAAAUAUGAGUAGUACAGAUUCUCCUCUAAUUCUGUAGGACUUUGAAUAAUGUGAUAUUUUUCUUAUAAUUGGACCCUUGUGUUUUGAAGAAAUGCCAACUGCUUGAAGAAUCUCCUUGUUAUUUGUAUUAUUUGCUAUAGGGUUAGAUGUUGAGAAAUUCUGCUGACAAAAAAUUUUAAGCCAGUUUUACACUAAAUGUUCCUCAGUCUGAUUAAUUUGUUAUUGGAUGUAUUCUGUAUCUUUCUUUUGUAAUUUGUAACUUUUAUCCACUUAGCACGAAUGAUUCUAUUAAAGAAAAUCAUUAGGAAGUGGUAGAAACUUUAAA